ACGCCGUAAUGAUUAAUAGGGACAGUCGGGGGGCAUCAGUAUGUCAAUUGUCACAGGAGAAAUUCUUGGAUUUAUUGAAGACUAACUACUGCGAAAGCAUUUGCCGAGGAUGUUUUCAUUUAUCAGGAACGAAAGGUAGGGGAACGAAAACGAUCUCAUACCGUCCUAUGCUUAACCAUAAACUAUGCCGACUAUGGAUCGGACGAUGUUAUUUUUUGACUCGUUCGGCUCCUUACGAGAAAUCAAAGUGCUUGGGCUCCAGGGGGAGUAUGGGCGCACGGCUGAAACUUAAAGAAAUUGACGGAAGGGCACCACCAGGGGUGGAGCCUGCGGCUUAAUUUGACUCAACACGGGGAAACUCACCAGGUCCAGACACAAUGAGGAUUGACAGAUUGAGAGCUCUUUCUUGAUUUUGUGGGUGGUGGUGCAUGGCCGUUCUUAGUUGGUGGAGUGAUUUGUCUGCUUAAUUGCGAUAACGAACGAGACCUUAACCUGCUAACUAGCCCGUAUUGCUUUGGCAGUACGCUGGCUUCUUAGAGGGACUAUCGGCUCAAGCCGAUGGAAGUUUGAGGCAAUAACAGGUCUGUGAUGCCCUUAUAUGUUCUGGGCCGCACGCGCGUUACACUGACAGAGCCAGCGAGUACUUCCUUGACUUAAAAGUCCGGGUAAUCUUGUUAAACUCUGUCGUGCUGGGG
rnacentral:rRNA from 1 species